GAUGAACGCUAGCGGCAGGCUUAACACAUGCAAGUCGAGGGGCAGCGCGGGUAGCAAUACUUGGCGGCGACCGGCGGAAGGGUGCGUAACGCGUGAGCAACAUGCCCGUAUCAGGGGGAUAAGUCAGGGAAACUUGAUCUAAUACCCCAUAAUAAGUUUUUAAGGCAUCUUAGAAAUUUUAAAGCUUUGGUGGAUACGGAUUGGCUCGCGUGACAUUAGCUAGAUGGUAGGGUAACGGCCUACCAUGGCUACGAUGUCUAGGGGUUCUGAGAGGAAGAUCCCCCACACUGGAACUGAGACACGGUCCAGACUCCUACGGGAGGCAG
rnacentral:rRNA from 1 species